GGGCUAAGAUGGUUGGCUCUUUAUCAUUUGUCACCAUGCCUGUCACGUUCAAACAAGUAUGUACGUGUGAAAGUGACGGGCAUAGUGACAAGCUAUAAAAAUGGAACCAUGCUGCCACUGCAGUGCAUGACGUCGCUAACGGAAAAUGAUACUGAUGACACAAUAUAUAUUCUUAAAAAGUAAGGAUUUCUUGUCUUACCAAUUUUAUACCGAUUUUUGGACGUUAUAUAUCACAUAUUUCUUACUUCGCCACCUGGCAACACUGGCUGUAAAUGUCGUCCCUUUUUUUUAUAUAUGCAAUGUUUGAAAUUCCUGCCUUGAAACUCUUAAUUGAGGCGCCAUCGUUAUUUCAUUCAUUUCAUUCUUUGUCGUUUUGUGUUAGAUUACGCACGUAAAAUGCAAAGAGCAUAUAAUCACUACGUUGUAAAAUGUAUUCACGGCGCCACGGCCGAUUCGACUCCAUUUUGUUCGUUUCUGCCGUAUGGAAAACAUUUACCAGAUUAAGAUUGCAAUGACAUAGAUGAUUUGAGACAACUCGCCUGGCAUUGCUGCAAGUAAGAAUAAGAACAUAAUGGAUUACAGAUAAAAGUAAAACAGUGAGGAAGUCACUUAAUCGAAAAUGCAUUGAGGAAGUAAUUCAUUCCAAGGGUCCUAGGAAAUGUUAAACAGCUGCAGGUCCGAAAAAACUAGCCAGCUGAAGAAGUUAAAUAAUGAAGAAAAAAGAAGAACAUCAGAACGGUCUUGAAAAGACAACUCCAUCUUCCAUUGCUUCGGAAUCUGAAUAUCUUUGAUCAUUUUGUCAUGAAUACACACUACUGCCUCGGCUGCCUGCUUAAACUACAGUAGUGAAUCUACUCUAUUACUAUUAAAUGUGAACCCUCUGCAAUUUAUCUGCGCAAGUAAAUUAAGCAACUGCAUCUAAGAAGAUUUUGAAAACGUCAAAGCAGCAAAAUUAUGAAUGCCAGGUCUUUUAUCUUGAGAAAAACUUGGGAGUGUUGAAAGAGCUAUUUUGUCAGUGGUCAAAAUUUGAAUAUUGGAGGAAAAUUGGAAAAUGAUACAUAGAGAUGGGGAAAUGGAUUGUUCGGUCUGUAAAUUGCAUUAUAAAAAGCUGUUUUGUCAGCAAUCACUUGGUCAGAAAAGAAAAUUAAGGGAGAUGGGUUGGAUGCAGUCUUUGUUUUGGCAAAUUUGGUUAUCUUCAUCCUUAACCUGCUCAAUAUUCUCAGUUUUUGCCAUCGGAGACCACUUUUUACAAAUACCUUUUAUAAUACUCAUUACUCAUUAUUUUGUAAAGAUCUUCCAACUUUUGGAAAAGGGUGCAUUCUAUACCUGUCUGAGUACCAUGUGAACGUUGACAUCUGUCGUUGACGACUGUCUGAGUGGAACUUUGGAAACAGCUUGAGAGGUCCAUCUGGACGUCCAUUGACGCUGAUUGCGUGUGGUGCCGACAGUGCUUCUUGAGCAGCUAAAAUGGCAUCUUAAAAUGGACCGCUUUUUGCUUGACCCCUAUCCUGAAUUGUACCAUAGACUCUUCGUGGCUCUCCGAGUCCCUACUAUCGCUACUGCCGGUCUUGUUGUUGGGAUGCCGGCUCUUUCGAGGGUUCCGCUUCAGACUCUGAACCCUUCAUUACAUAUGGCUUUAUUGUUAUGGCCUUCUCUAAGAGUGAAAUCAGUAUUUUUUUUGUUGUUAGGGGUCUGAUGACCUGAGUUCCGUCGCUUGUUACGCCCGUUGGUGUUUAUUUGUUAUUGUUGAAAUCCUGCAAGAAAAAGUUGUUUUGUCAGUAGUCAAAAGAUCCAAUUUUGGCAUGAAAAAUAAAUACUGGGGUGUUGUUUUUAUUACAAUACGGGUGAGAUCUUGUUAAAAAGCUGUUCUGCUAGCAGUCAAUUUUCAGUAUUGAUAUGAUAAAUAUUAUUAUGGGGCAUUAUCGCAUUAUGUUAUACUUGUCAGACUAAUCAUUAAAAAAAAACACGUUAAAAAAAUCAAAAUCAUUAUGUUAAAUUUUUAAUUUUGAUUUGGACGAAAUAAUGACUGGGUAUUAUCACAAGAAGGGAAAUGGGUUUGUCUGUCUUUGUUAUCAAGAAAAAGCUGUUCUGUCAGCAGUCAACAUUCACUUUUGAUAUUAUACGAAUAAAAUGAGGCAAUAUCACACAGGGAGUUUUAUCAGGGAAUAGUAUGAGGGACAACACUUUUAUCACCAAUCAAACUUUUAUGACCAAAAAUACAAAUGCAUUCAUUGUUGAAA